rnacentral:rRNA from 1 species
UACGGAGGGAGCUAGCGUUGUUCGGAAUUACUGGGCGUAAAGGGCUCGUAGGCGGCCAACUAAGUCGGACGUGAAAUCCCUCAGCUUAACUGGGGAACUGCGUCCGAUACUGGAUGGCUUGGAUUUGGGAGAGGGAUGCGGAAUUCCAGGUGUAGCGGUGAAAUGCGUAGAUAUCGGGAGGAACAUCAGUGGCGAAGGCGGCCUUCUGGUCCAGUACUGACACUCAAGUGCGAAAGCGUGGGGAGCAAACAGG